rnacentral:rRNA from 1 species
GGAGUUAGCCGGUGCUUCUUCUGUGAGUGAUGUCCUUCCUGCCGGCUAUUAACCCGCAGGCCUUCUUCCUCACUGAAAGUGCUUUACAACCCGAAGGCCUUCUUCACACACGCGGCAUGGCUGGAUCAGGGUUGCCCCCAUUGUCCAAUAUUCCCCACUGCUGCCUCCCGUAGGAGUCUGGGCCGUGUCUAAGUCCCAGUGUGGCUGAUCAUCCUCUCAGACCAGCUACGGAUCGUCGCCUUGGUGAGCCGUUACCUAACCAACCAGCUAAUCCGACAUAGGCUCAUCCGAUAGCGCGAGGCCCGAAGGUCCCCCGAUUUCCCCCGUAGGGCGUAUGCGGUAUUAGCCUGGGUUUCCCCAGGUUAUCCCCCACUACCGGGCAGAUUCCUAUGCAUUACUCACCCGUCCGCCGCUCGCCACCAGGGAGCAAGCUCCCCGUGCUGCCGCUCGACUUGCAUGUGUUAGGCCUGCCGCCAGCGUUCAAUCUGACGACAGAAUACUAAACUCUACGA